GCCGCGCCGCCCCCUGCGGCCCCGCCGGCGCCGCGCUCUCCAAAUCCGGCUCCCGGGCCGGCGCCGGCGCGCAGCGCAGAUCCGCCCGGCGGGCCCGCCCCUCACCUGCGCCGCGCCCCGCGCUCCUCCUUAAAGGGCCCUCCGCUCGGGCGGCUCUGGCUCCGGCGCGGGGGGGAGGCCGGGGGAGCCCAGGGAGAAGGGCGCGCCCGAGGGAGACCCCCUCCUUUUCCCCCGACGGCCGCUCGCGGCCUGCACCGGGCUGUGUCGGGCCCGGCCGCACACUGUCCCGGGGACCGAGAACGCUGUGCGCCUAGCAGGUGGGAGGGAGAGCCAGGCGUCCCUCUCCCCCCCCCCCCGCAACCGAGGAAGGGCGCUCCAAGGGACGGAGCUGGCCGUCCGGGGGACUGCGGGAUACCGCUGGGGGCGCGUGUUCUUUCCUGGAGGAAAUAACCGGGGGGGCGGCGGGGCGGCGGCGAAGACUCUGGAUUUGACACUGGUCGCAAUCGCUCGCGACCCCUCCGAGAAAUGGAAGCAGUCCAACGUUGGAGGCAGCACCUGCCGCUAAUAAUCUGUACAACUUUGGGGGUUGCGGUUUCUCUAGGGGACUCCGUUUCCGGAGGGGUCUGGUUCGCACCGCACAGAACCGGGGUGGUAAGAUCGAGAUGUCUGUGUCACGAACUGUUUGUCAAGCUGAAGCCGUCUUCGUUCCUACGAGGUGUGGACUGCCAGUGCGUGCUCCAGGCUGACUUCAUCUCCUCCCAUAAAGAUACGGUCGUAAGCGGUCGGGCUGGAUGAACUCUUUCUCGUCCCUGAUCCUCCUUUGGGCUACACUUCCUUCCACCCCGAACGCUCCCUAGGCAGAAGUUUGGAUUCCACCUGCUAGUUGUAUACAAGAAAUGAAAAAGUUGGGGCACCUGGGUGGCUCAGUCGGUUAACUGUUGGACUUCGGCUCAGGUCAUGAUCUUGCACUCUGUGAGUUCGAGCCCCACAUCAGGCUCUGUGCUGACAGC